rnacentral:tRNA from 1 species
CGCAGGAUAGAGUAACGGUAACUUGUCAGAAGGGGCUUCUGAAGCUGGAGGUUCGAAUCCUUCUCCUGCUA